rnacentral:lncRNA from 1 species
AAGUGUGCUUGUCCUGUUGAGUCGCCCUCUUAAUACUCUGCGCUGCCAGGAGAUGAACUUGCAACAACCAGCCAGCUGUUCCAAGAAUAAUGAGAGUCCUGUGGCUGUGGUCACCCAGCUGACUCACUGACCAGCUAAGCCCAGCCUUAAAUAGCUGCCCCUGGCUUACCUGAGAUGUAUGAAAAAAAAAAAUACUUGUUUUAUAUCACAGAAAUUUUGUGGGUUUUGUUACACAGAAAAAAAUUACUCAAAAAAAACCCCAAAAAACAAAAAAACCCAGAAAGUUUCUGGGUUUUUCCUGUGAUCCAUUCCUAACUCCUACCCAUCUCUUCAAUCUAUUAAUGUACUAAGUUACAUUAAUAGACUUUCUGUAAAACCAUCCUACAUUUCUUGGAAUAAAUACAACUCAGCUGCUUUAUAAAACAAAAAUUCAAAGCUAGAUCCAGUUUCAUAAUCUUUAAGGAAUUUUGUAUCUAUAUUCAUUAAGGAGGUGUUCCUAUAAUUUUUUUUCAUGUACUCUUUUUGAGAGGUUUUGGUUUUAGGAUAAUUCUAGCUUUUCAAAAUAAGCUGAAGUCUCCAUCUCCUCCCCUGACCCCCCAUUUUCUUGAACAGUUUGAGUAAAAUAGGAAUUGACUGGUUCUUGAGUAUUUGAUAAACCUUAACAGUAAAACCAUCUAGACCUGGUGUUUUCUUAGAUCAAAUAAAUAUGUGUAAGCUACAGUUAAGUGGAUUCAUAGCUGGUCAGCACAGCCUUACCCAAAAAGUAUUAAGAAAUGGAUCACCCUCAGUCUGCCCUGUCUGAUGGGCUUAAGAGGAGCAUGGAUGAAAAAAUAAAAGAUAAUUUAUCAUCUUUCAGGUAACAAAAAUUUGAUAAUCUCCAGUUGUGUCUUUAACGUAAAAAAAAAUAAAUUAUACUAAAACGAAUUUGCUUUAGUCUCUCAUGAGUAAAGGGCUGUGUAGAUGCCCAGAGGGAACUCUGCCUCCCAGAUUUGCAUUGAUGUUUCGGUAUCAUUGUUUUCAUCCCCUCACUGUUUGCCCGAGCCCUUCUGUUUCAAUAGGAUUUAGAGCUUUUCCCUGACCCCAGACUGGGGAAGAGGGGCCUGUGUGGGGGAUGUUUCAGCUGCUGCAGUCAAUCCCAUUGGCAGCGUCGGGGAGGACCCCAUGCUCUCAUGCUGUCUUUGGUCCUGUCCCUGCAGGUAACACAUGGAAAGAUCUGAGCACCAGAUGCCAUAGGAAUGUCCAGGGGAGAGUGGCCUGGAUAAUGAUGUUUCUCGGCCCUGAUACUUUAGACGUUUUGGGGCCAGAUAAUUCUUUGUUGUGGGAGCUCCAAAAAUGUCUUCAGGCAGUGCCAGAUGUACCCCCGGACACAGAUAGGCCCCCAGUUGAGAACAACCAGCCUAAAGACCAUGUUUUAGUAAGAGUAGUAAAGGCACUGGGUGGUUUAGGCCUGAGAAGAAGAGUUGUAGUGAAAACGUACCAGUUGGCUUUCACAACGAUUAAAAGGGCUGUUGCGAAUGGGGGAGCCGAAUCAUUUUGUGGGGCUCUGAAAGGCAGAACUAAGGCCAACAGUUGGAAAUGACAAGGUGGCCAAUGUGGAAUCUCUUUUUUUAAAAAGGAAUUUUUCAACAGGUCAGUUAUUCCAGGAAUAGCAAGUUGCUGGAAUAAUUUCAGUGCAGCGAGUUCCCUGACAUUAGCAGUAUUCAAGCUGAGGCUGACAAACCACUUGUCAGGAAUGCUGUGGAGGGGAUUCUGGACUGAAGAGAGGGCUUGGUUCGUGUAGAUGAUGACCUAGUCUCUUCCAACUGGAGAACUUUACGGUUUAAAUAGAGCACAUGGGGCUGAGAAAAUGGAAGACUUUGGGGCAUCGGUCCAGACGUGUUGCUUGAGGCAUUGGUGCCUCUGCCCAGACCCCCUCAGAUCUCACUAUUGCUGUGUACACGGAUGGCUUGUUUCUGCAGCCCCCCGGGGGCUUCCUCUGGCUGCAGGAGAGUAUUCACUAGUGCAAGAGGCAGACUAGCAGUGGGAUGGGGGAUUCUUCCCCCCCAGUGCUCAGAUCGCCUUCUACCAAUGGUGGAUGGGAGUUGGUGCCUAAAUGCCCCAGCUCCCUCACUUCUCCUCAGGAUCGUGCUGAGGUGUGUUCCCCAGGGGUCUUCAAGGAGGAAUGAGCCGCAGUUGCUCAUAGCAGAACCUGCUCAGUAAAGCAUCCUGUGUCACCUCUCCUCCCUUUCCUGUCUCACCUCCUUGCUCCCCCAUCAGUGCUCCCAAUAAGCCUCUUCCAUCAGGUUGUUGUCUCAGAAUUUUCUUCCAGGAGAAUCUAGGGUUAAGAUCUAAGCCAGGUCUGUAGAACUGGCUGCAGAAAGGGAAGUAAAUAGGAGGACUGGUCAGUAUUUCACAUUCACAAGACCCCCCAGUCUUGAUGUUUGAGGCAGUUUGAUCCCUGGCCUCGCUCAAUAGGUCCAGGAUCCAGCAUUGCUGUGAGCCGUGGUGUAGGUCACAGACGUGGCUCAGAUCUGGCAUUGCUGUGGCUGUGGUGUAGGCUGGCAACUGCAGCUCCAAUUUGAUCCCCAGCCUAGGAACUUCCAUAUGCUGCACAUGUGGCC